CUACGGGUCGCACCAGUGGGGAAUAUUGCACAAUGGACGAAAGUCUGAUGCAGCAACGCCGCGUGGAGGAUGACACAUUUCGGUGCGUAAACUCCUUUUAUAUAAGAAGAUAAUGACGGUAUUAUAUGAAUAAGCACCGGCUAACUCCGUGCCAGCAGCCGCGGUAAUACGGGGGGUGCAAGCGUUACUCGGAAUCACUGGGCGUAAAGCGCAUGUAGGCGGACUUGUAAGUUGGAAGUGAAAUCCUAUGGCUCAACCAUAGAACUGCUUCCAAAACUGCUUGUCUAGAAUAUGGGAGAGGUAGAUGGAAUUUCUGGUGUAGGGGUAAAAUCCGUAGAGAUCAGAAGGAAUACCGAUUGCGAAGGCGAUCUACUGGAACAUUAUUGACGCUCAGAUGCGAAAGCGUGGGGAGCAAACAGGAUUAGAUACCCGAGUAGUC
rnacentral:rRNA from 1 species